UUUAACACGAAGUGAGUGGCGAACGGGUGAGUAACACGUGGGUAACCUGCCCAGAAGUAGGGGAUAACACCUGGAAACAGAUGCUAAUACCGUAUAACAGAGAAAACCGCAUGGUUUUCUUUUAAAAGAUGGCUCUGCUAUCACUUCUGGAUGGACCCGCGGCGUAUUAGCUAGUUGGUGAGGUAAAGGCUCACCAAGGCAGUGAUACGUAGCCGACCUGAGAGGGUAAUCGGCCACAUUGGGACUGAGACACGGCCCAGACUCCUACGGGAGGCAGCAGUAGGGAAUCUUCCACAAUGGACGCAAGUCUGAUGGAGCAACGCCGCGUGAGUGAAGAAGGGUUUCGGCUCGUAAAGCUCUGUUGUUAAAGAAGAACGUGGGUAAGAGUAACUGUUUACCCAGUGACGGUAUUUAACCAGAAAGCCACGGCUAACUACGUGCCAGCAGCCGCGGUAAUACGUAGGUGGCAAGCGUUAUCCGGAUUUAUUGGGCGUAAAGCGAGCGCAGGCGGUCUUUUAAGUCUAAUGUGAAAGCCUUCGGCUCAACCGAAGAAGUGCAUUGGAAACUGGGAGACUUGAGUGCAGAAGAGGACAGUGGAACUCCAUGUGUAGCGGUGAAAUGCGUAGAUAUAUGGAAGAACACCAGUGGCGAAGGCGGCUGUCUGGUCUGCAACUGACGCUGAGGCUCGAAAGCAUGGGUAGCGAACAGGAUUAGAUACCCUGGUAGUCCAUGCCGUAAACGAUGAUUACUAAGUGUUGGAGGGUUUCCGCCCUUCAGUGCUGCAGCUAACGCAUUAAGUAAUCCGCCUGGGGAGUACGACCGCAAGGUUGAAACUCAAAAGAAUUGACGGGGGCCCGCACAAGCGGUGGAGCAUGUGGUUUAAUUCGAAGCUACGCGAAGAACCUUACCAGGUCUUGACAUCUUCUGACAGUCUAAGAGAUUAGAGGUUCCCUUCGGGGACAGAAUGACAGGUGGUGCAUGGUUGUCGUCAGCUCGUGUCGUGAGAUGUUGGGUUAAGUCCCGCAACGAGCGCAACCCUUAUUACUAGUUGCCAGCAUUAAGUUGGGCACUCUAGUGAGACUGCCGGUGACAAACCGGAGGAAGGUGGGGACGACGUCAAAUCAUCAUGCCCCUUAUGACCUGGGCUACACACGUGCUACAAUGGAUGGUACAACGAGUCGCGAGACCGCGAGGUUAAGCUAAUCUCUUAAAACCAUUCUCAGUUCGGACUGUAGGCUGCAACUCGCCUACACGAAGUCGGAAUCGCUAGUAAUCGCGGAUCAGCAUGCCGCGGUGAAUACGUUCCCGGGCCUUGUACACACCGCCCG
rnacentral:rRNA from 1 species